GACGAACGCUGGCGGCGCGCCUAACACAUGCAAGUCGAACGAGCGAGAGAGAGCUUGCUUUCUCAAGCGAGUGGCGAACGGGUGAGUAACGCGUGAGGAACCUGCCUCAAAGAGGGGGACAACAGUUGGAAACGACUGCUAAUACCGCAUAAGCCCACGACCCGGCAUCGGGUAGAGGGAAAAGGAGCAAUCCGCUUUGAGAUGGCCUCGCGUCCGAUUAGCUAGUUGGUGAGGUAACGGCCCACCAAGGCGACGAUCGGUAGCCGGACUGAGAGGUUGAACGGCCACAUUGGGACUGAGACACGGCCCAGACUCCUACGGGGGGCAGCAGUGGGGAAUAUUGCACAAUGGGGGAAACCCUGAUGCAGCGACGCCGCGUGGAGGAAGAAGGUCUUCGGAUUGUAAACUCCUGUUGUUGAGGAAGAUAAUGACGGUACUCAACAAGGAAGUGACGGCUAACUACGUG
rnacentral:rRNA from 1 species